AACGAACGCUGGCGGCAUGCCUAACACAUGCAAGUCGAACGAGAUCUUCGGGUCUAGUGGCGCACGGGUGCGUAACGCGUGGGAAUCUGCCCUUUGGUUCGGAAUAACAGUUGGAAACGACUGCUAAUACCGGAUGAUGACGAAAGUCCAAAGAUUUAUCGCCAGGGGAUGAGCCCGCGUAGGAUUAGCUAGUUGGUGUGGUAAAGGCGCACCAAGGCGACGAUCCUUAGCUGGUCUGAGAGGAUGAUCAGCCACACUGGGACUGAGACACGGCCCAGACUCCUACGGGAGGCAGCAGUGGGGAAUAUUGGACAAUGGGCGAAAGCGUGAUCCAGCAAUGCCGCGUGGGUGAUGAAGGCCUUAGGGUUGUAAAGCUCUUUUACCCGGGAUGAUAAUGACAGUACCGGGAGAAUAAGCUCCGGCUAACUCCGUGCCAGCCGCCGCCGUAA
rnacentral:rRNA from 1 species